UUUCCCAAUGUUGAUCAUGCUUCUGGUCCCUGUUCGACAGUAUCUGCUCCCUAAAUUUUUCAAAGGUGCACAUCUACAAGAUUUGGAUGCAGCAGAAUAUGAGGAAGCUCCUGCUGUAUCUUACAAUAUGGCAUUUGACGAUCAGGAUCUUCAAGCAAGAUCAUCUAACAUUGAUGGAGGAGAAAUUCUUGAUGAAAUUAUCACAAGAAGCCGAGGUGAGAUCCGCCGUACACAAAGCCCUAAAGUGACAAGUUCCAGUCCAGGUUCAUUACACGACAUAAAACCUGCAUAUAGUCCGCGUAUGUCACUGAGGGCAUACAGUCCGCGUGUUAGUGAACUGAGGGCAGAAUGGAGUCCCCAGUCUAAUGGAAAGGGAGUUGAAAUAAAGCGAACUCCUAGUCCAGGCCCGUCUAGUCUUGGUCAAAGCACUCGCGGUUCAUCUUCAAGCUAAUUCUGGUGAGUUUAGUUGUCAGUUUGCUCGAGAG
rnacentral:misc_RNA from 1 species